rnacentral:rRNA from 1 species
AUACGGAGGGUGCAAGCGUUGUUCGGAAUUACUGGGCGUAAAGCGCGCGUAGGUGGCUAUGUAAGUCGGAUGUGAAAGCCCUGGGCUCAACCUGGGAAUUGCAUUCGAUACUGCAGAGCUAGAGUAUGGUAGAGGGAAGUGGAAUUUCCGGUGUAGCGGUGAAAUGCGUAGAUAUCGGAAGGAACACCAGUGGCGAAGGCGACUUCCUGGGCCAAUACUGACGCUGAGGUGCGAAAGCGUGGGGAGCAAACAGGAUUAGAAACCCCAGUAGUCC